GAUGUUAACGAGCUCUUGAGAUCGUAUCAAUCUGAACCCGAAUGUUCUCCAUCCAAAGAUUAUAUUUGGGGGAAUGAUCUCCAUCCGAAUGUUGAACUCAUAUCAACUACAAAGGAUGGUGAUGGAUACAAGGGAAACAAGAUCCAAUUCUCGGGACCGUUGGUUUUGUCAAACGCGGAUCAGAUGCUUAAGGAUCAUGACAAUGUUUAUGUUACAGCACAACACAACUAACACGUGUUAUAGUUUGAGCUUCAGGACAUGCAUGUGUUACAUGUGACGUGAAACCCAUGUACAACGUAACACGUGUUAGUGCUAUGUAUUUUUGUUUACUAGUAAUAUGCAAUGUGAGACUCUUGUUGUUUUCUCUAGUACACGAUGUUAAAACGGUCUAGACUUAACACAUUUUCUGUUGGAGGCGCCCGUAUUUGUACCUCUACUGUUACAGUUACUAUUGAAGUUUAUGCAUC